rnacentral:tRNA from 1 species
GUCUUCGUGGUGUAGUGGUCAGCACGCUCGACGCGUAACCGAGAGGUCCGUGGUUCAAUUCCCAGCGAAGGCU